AUGGGGAGGUCGCCGUGCUGCUCCCACGACGCCGGCGUGAAGAAAGGGCCGUGGACGGAGGAGGAGGACAAGACGCUGGUGGAGCACAUCCAGAAGCGCGGCGGGAACGUCGGUAGCUGGCGCGGUCUGCCCAAGGCCGCCGGGCUCAACCGCUGCGGCAAGAGCUGCCGCCUCCGGUGGACCAACUACCUCCGCCCCGACAUCAAGCGCGGCAACUUCUCCGACGAGGAGGAGCGCCUCAUCAUCACCCUCCACGCCGGCCUCGGCAACAAGUGGGCGACGAUCGCGACGCACCUGGAGGGCCGUACGGAUAACGAAAUCAAGAACUACUGGAACACGCACAUCCGCAAGAAGCUCCUGCGCAUGGGCGUCGACCCAGUGACGCACCAGCAGCUGCCACCCGACCAGAGUCACCACCACCUCAACGCCACCUCCAUCGCCCACCACCCCGGGGCGCUCCUCUGGGCUGCGGCGGCCGCGAGCCUCGGCAGCCUGGACACCGGCGCCCUCAUGCAGGCGCAGCUUCUACAACAGCUUCUCCAGGCCAUCGGAUCCAACAAUGGCACCAGCGGCCUCAUCGCCAACCUAGCUGCAGCAAACACAAUGUUGAACUCAAGCGGUAGCAUGAUUCCGAAUCUCUUGCUGGACCAGAUGAACUGCCUGCAGCCGGGUUACCUCUGCAACACCUCCAAUUUUGCAGAGCAGCACGUGGUGCAGCAGCAGCUGACCAAUGAUGCCUCUCCAGGAACAAGCUCCUUUGCAGCAGCGGAACAGGCUGAUCAGCUCUGCAAUACCACAGCUUCAUUUGCAUCGCAUGAUGUUGCAUCUGCGGGUGACUGGUCGCCCGCGCAGGAGUUCGCUGGCUUGCUGGAGCCCAUGAUGGAGGUGCCCGAUCUGUGCUCUCUGGAAAGUGAUUCUUUCUGGAAGGACAUACUGGACGACAGCUACCUUUUGUAG
rnacentral:rRNA from 1 species